UACUUGACAUUUGGCCGCCAUUCUAGUUUCCAUUCAAGUUGACAGUUGAUCUUGAAAAAGCUUCUUUUCUGGUGUUAACAGUUUUUGCAUAAAAAGCGCUGUAGAAAUGUCCAAAUGUUGCAUAUGGAAUGUCUUUUGUAACGUUUACGUCAAAACGUCCGUCAAUUGUCAUCGAAUAAGAACAAAAAAGAGGCAGAUUUUCAAUUCUGCAUUUCGAAGAUGAUUAAGAACUAGAUGUCGGCAUGGAAGAGCAGCAGUGAUUUCUCCAACAAGACGGAGCGCCACUACACUAUGCCCUUCCUGUUCGAGUAUAUUUAAACCAAUUAUUUUCCAAUUGAUGGAUUUGGAGAAGAGGCCCGAUUUGACUCUGCUGUACUUCUUCCUUUAAAUUUACACCACUAGACCAAAUACUUCUAAUGAACAAAAAAUCAGAAUCCUAGAAGAACUUAAGAGAAUAAUUCUUGUUACCUUAGGGAAUUGUCAAGAAGAAUUUAAAAAUCGUUUACGAGCUGCCCAAGGUGAGGCCAAUGCCUUUAAAAGUAUAGAUAGUACCGAUUUGUCUCAGUUGUGCACCAGUUAAACAUGCACUGAAAUUACAAACACCUUUAAGAAAGUUAUUUUGUUCAGCAAUAUAAUGACAUCAACUAUGGUUUUCCUGUAGUCUAACUUUUGAAGACAAUUUCUCAAUUUAACAGUUUGUGGACGAAUUGUAUGGAUUUAGGAUGGUCAAUCAUUGUGUAACUAAAAUGGGGCCAUUACGUUGAUAGUAAAUAUUUUGUCUAAUAUUUAAUGGAUCUUCCUUAGGUCUAUCAAAUUAAUUACGAAAAAGGAAAAUUGAUGCUGAAUGUGACUUUCCACUGUCACAUGUAGGUUAUUAUCAGAUCCACAUAAAUGUAUAUUAUUUCCACAAUAUGCUGCUGAGGUAUCUUAAUGAUUUCAUAUUUGUGAUAUGUAGUUAGGAAUCAGUCUUUUAUGGCUGUGCUAUGGAUAGGUACACUAGUGUUCUACAAAGAAUAAUUGCCACAGAGCUUCAGAAUAAUUCUUUGUGGAAUGCAUGUGUAUGUGCAACCUGUACAUUUUGGGAUCUGCGUUUUUGAUAAUUUGUUUUGUUAAAGUAUCCAAAAUGUAACUUUAUCUUAUAACUCUGCUUAUUUUCUAUGUACUGGAUAUUAUGUAAUUGAUCACAUAAUUAUUUUGAGUCAUUUCAACAAAGAACUCAAAUAUUAAUAAUAUAAGUUGCACCCAAUGUUUUGAAUUUUAAGAAAAUCAUGAGGCUUAAUGCCAUAAUAAUUGUUUUGAAAAGGACUCAUCUUGGCCAAAGAGGUUGAGAUGAGAUCUUUUCGAGAUAUAUUUUAGAAUUGCACCAUUAUGACCGCAAGGUAUGAACCGAUCUUGCUCAUAAAAUACACCGGCUGAUUUUCUAUAAAUGCAAUAAUAUUAGAUUCAGAUUCUUUGUCGAAAUUUAAGAUUACUUUUUUAUAGUGGUUCCAAGCCAAAUUCGGACAUUGCAGCUUUUCUUACUAAAAAUGUUUAAAUUAAAAUAGUUCGAAAAAAAAGCAGAUUGUCACUAAUGAAGUUCAAGCUCUUUGUUAUUUCUCGCAUUUUGUUUUUUUUCUGUUCACCAACCUGUUUGCUUUAUAAUUAAGUUUUUUAGUUUCAAGUAGCCUUUCUUGCCACUUGUCCAGAGCUUAUUUGUUCUUCUUUCGUUGGUAGGUCUCACUUCAGCUAUCACUUCCCAGAUUACUAGACCGUCAGGCACUCUAGAUUAGUAUGGCACACACGCGUGAAAUUUGAUUUCACAUAUGUAAAUAUUAUGCAAAAUCAUUGCUGGGAUCAAUGUUGGGGAGUAUUUUAAUAAACUAUUCAAUAAUAAAAAUAUUUAUAAUGUA